rnacentral:rRNA from 1 species
UACGGGAGGCAGCAGUGAGGAAUAUUGGUCAAUGGCCGAGAGGGUGAACCAGCCAAGUAGCGUGCGGGAAGACGGCCCUAUGGGUUGUAAACCGCUUUUGCAGGGGGAUAAAGUGUCCCACGUGUGGGAUUUUGCUUNNUCCCUGAGAAUAAGGACCGGCUAAUUCCGUGCCAGCAGCCGCGGUAAU